rnacentral:rRNA from 1 species
AUUGAACGCUGGCGGCAGGCCUAACACAUGCAAGUCGAACGAGUGGCGGACGGGUGAGUAAUGUCUGGGAAACUGCCUGAUGGAGGGGGAUAACUACUGGACACUGUAGCUAAUACCGCAUACCAUCAGAUGUGCCCAGAUGGGAUUAGCUAGUUGGUGGGGUAACGGCUAACCAAGGCGACGAUCCCUAGCUGGUCUGAGAGGAGGCCCAGACACACUGGAACGGAGACACGGUCCAGACUCCUACGGGAGGCAGCAGUGGGGAAUAUUGGACAAUGGGCGAAAGCCUGAUGCAGCCAUGCCGCGUGUGUGAAGAAGGCCUUCGGGUUGUAAAGUACUUUCAGCGGGGAGGCGUUACCCGCAGAAGAAGCACCGGCUAACUACGUGCCAGCAGCCGCGGUAAUAC